rnacentral:rRNA from 1 species
GCCGGAGGAAGGUGGGGAUGAUGUCAAGUCAGCAUGGCCUUUAUGUCCUGGGCUACAUACACGCUACAAUGGCCAACACAAUAGGUUGCUAAGCCGCGAGGUGGCGCCAAUCCAUAAAGUUGGUCUCAGUUCAGAUUGUAGGCUGCAACCCGCCUGCAUGAAGAUGGAGUUGCUAGUAACCGCAGGUCAGCUAUACUGCGGUGAAUACGUUCCCGGGGCUU